rnacentral:rRNA from 1 species
UACGAGGGGGUGGCAAACGUUGCUCGGAAUCGAUUGGGCGUAAAGCGCACGUAGGCGGUUCGUUAUGUCGGAUGUGAAAGCCCUUGGCUUAACCGAGGAAGUGCAUCCGAAACUGGCGAGCUAGAGUACGAAAGAGGAUCGCGGAAUUCCCGGUGUAGAGGUGAAAUUCGUAGAUAUGCGGAGGAACACCGAUGGCGAAGGCAAUCCCCUGGGCCUGCACUGACGCUCAUGCACGAAAGCGUGGGGAGCAAACAGG